GGCUCAGAAAGAAACUGGCGGCGUGCUUCAGACAUGCAAGUCGAACGCAGUCGGCCCGCAAGGGCCGGCUGAGUGGCGAAUGGUUGCCUAACACGUAGGUGACCUGCCCGGAAGUGGGGAAUAACAGUCCGAAAGGACUGCUAAUACCGCAUGCGGGGCACGGGUUUUGAAGCCGUGUCCCAAAGGGACGUGCAAUCGUGCCGCUUUCGGAGGGGCCUGCGGCCCAUCAGCUGGUUGGCAGGGUAACGGCCUACCAAGGCGACGACGGGUAGGGGACCUGAGAGGGUGACCCCCCACACUGGCACUGACACACGGGCCAGACUCCUACGGGAGGCAGCAGUGGG
rnacentral:rRNA from 1 species